rnacentral:rRNA from 1 species
CCCUUAGAUGUUCUGGGCCGCACGCGCGCUACACUGAUGCAUCCAACGAGCCUAUCCUUGACCGACAGGUCCGGGUAAUCUUUGAAUCUGCAUCGUGACGGGGAUAGAUUAUUGCAAUUAUUAAUCUUCAACGAGGAAUGCCUAGUAGGCGCAAGUCAUCAGCUUGCGUCGAUUACGUCCCUGCCCUUUGUACACACCGCCCGUCGCUCCUACCGAUUGGGUGUGCUGGUGAAAUGUUCGGAUCGGCCGUUUGUCGCGGUUUCCGCGGCUCGUGGCUGAGAAGUUCAUUAAACCCUCCCACCUAGAGGAAGGAGAAGUCGUAACA